rnacentral:sRNA from 1 species
CCUCUUGCAUCCUCGCGACUAAUGACAAUCCUAACCUACGGUUAAGUCUCUCAUUAGCCGCGCGAAACGCUGCAAUGAAGAUCAUUUGUUUCAGCAAUACAAACAAUACAUGAGUUUCAUGUUAAUUGCUGCCAGCUGGUUGAAAAAAGGGGCCAUAAAGGCCCCUCUUU